rnacentral:rRNA from 1 species
CAGCAGCCGCGGGAAAACGAAGGGUGCAAGCGUUAAUCGGAAUUACUGGGCGUAAAGCGUGCGUAGGUGGUGGUUUAAGUCCGCUGUGAAAGCCCUGGGCUCAACCUGGGAAUUGCAGUGGAUACUGGGUCACUAGAGUGUGGUAGAGGAUAGUGGAAUUUCCGGUGUAGCAGUGAAAUGCGUAGAGAUCGGAAGGAACAUCUGUGGCGAAGGCGACUAUCUGGGCCAACACUGACACUGAGGCACGAAAGCGUGGGGAGCAAACAGGAUUAGAUACCCCCGUAGUCCCUGUCUCUUAUAC